ACAGUGGACGCGAGCAUCUUUGUUGUAAGUGUUUAAGAGCGUACGGUGGAUGCCUUGGCACCAGGAGCCGAUGAAGGACGUAGGAGGCUGCGAUAAGCCUCGGGGAGCUGUCAACCGAGCUGAGAUCCGAGGAUGUCCGAAUGGGGAAACCCAGCCACAGUGAUGUGUGGUUACCCGCGCCUGAAUAUAUAGGGCGUGUGGAGGGAACGUGGGGAAGUGAAACAUCUCAGUACCCACAGGAAGAGAAAACAACAUGUGAUUCCGUGAGUAGUGGCGAGCGAAAGCGGAAGAGGCUAAACCAUGGGUGUGUGAUAGCCGGCGGGCGUUGCAUUCGUGGGGUUGUGGGAUCCGUCUUGUCAAUUCUGCCGGAUUGGCCGACAGUGAGAAAUCAUCGUGUUAGUCGAAGUGGUCUGGAACGGCCUGUCGUAGAGGGUGAGAGUCCCGUAGACGAAAACAUGGUGACUGUCGUGACGGACACCCGAGUAGCAGCGGGCCCGUGAAAUCUGCUGUGAAUCUGUCGGGACCACCCGAUAAGCCUGAAUACUCCCUGGUGACCGAUAGCGGACUAGUACCGUGAGGGAAAGGUGAAAAGUACCCCGGGAGGGGAGUGAAAUAGUACCUGAAACCGUGCGCUUACAAUCCGUCAGAGCCUGCGCCACUUUUGGUGGGUGGGUGAUGGCGUGCCUUUUGAAGAAUGAGCCUGCGAGUUAGCGGCAUGUCGCGAGGUUAACCCGUGUGGGGUAGCCGUAGCGAAAGCGAGUCCGAAUAGGGCGUUUGUAGUGGCAUGUUCUAGACCCGAAGCGGAGUGAUCUACCCAUGGCCAGGGUGAAGCGACGGUAAGACGUCGUGGAGGCCCGAACCCACUUAGGUUGAAAACUGAGGGGAUGAGCUGUGGGUAGGGGUGAAAGGCCAAUCAAACUCCGUGAUAGCUGGUUCUCCCCGAAAUGCAUUUAGGUGCAGCGUCGCGUGUUUCACUCUGGAGGUAGAGCUACUGGAUGGCCGAUGGGCCCCACAAGGUUACUGACGUCAGCCAAACUCCGAAUGCCAGAGUGUGAGAGCGCGGCAGUGAGACUGCGGGGGAUAAGCUUCGUAGUCGAGAGGGAAACAGCCCAGAUCGCCGGCUAAGGCCCCUAAGCGUGUACUAAGUGGAAAAGGAUGUGGGGUCGCGAAGACAACCAGGAGGUUGGCUUAGAAGCAGCCACCCUUGAAAGAGUGCGUAAUAGCUCACUGGUCAAGUGAUCCUGCGCCGACAAUGUAGCGGGGCUCAAGUACACCGCCGAAGCCGCGGCAUUCACAUAACACCCAUGCGGGUCUACGGGCCUGUGUGCAGUGGUGUGGAUGGGUAGGGGAGCGUCGUGCAGCCAUGGAAGCGCCGGAGUGAUCCAGGUGUGGAGGCUGCACGAGUGAGAAUGCAGGCAUGAGUAGCGAAAGACGAGUGAGAAACUCGUCCGCCGAAUGACCAAGGGUUCCUGGGCCAGGUUAAUCCGCCCAGGGUGAGUCGGGACCUAAGGCGAGGCCGACAGGCGUAGUCGAUGGACAACGGGUUGAUAUUCCCGUACCCGUGUGAACGCGCCCCUGGUGAAUCAGUGAUGCUAAGCGCCCUGAAGCCGCCUUCGAACCUUCGGGUUCUCCGGUGUGUGGAUGCGCGUGAACCGAUCUGGUAGUAGCCAAGCGAUGGGGUGACGCAGGAAGGUAGCUGAGCCAGUCAGUGGUAAUACUGGUGUAAGCGUGUAGGGCGUGACCUAGGCAAAUCCGGGUCACACACAGCCUGAGACGUGAUGCGUAGCCGAUUGAGGCGAAUUCAGUGAUCCUAUGCUGCCGAGAAAAGCCUCUAGCGAGCUUUCACACGGCCCGUACCCCAAACCGACACAGGUGGUCAGGUAGAGAAUACUAAGGCGAUCGAGAUAACUGUGGUUAAGGAACUCGGCAAAAUGCCCCCGUAACUUCGGGAGAAGGGGGGCCUCGUCUGGUGACGGAACUUGCUUCCUGAGCUGGGUGGGGCCGCAGAGACCAGAGAGAAGCGACUGUUUACUAAAAACACAGGUCCGUGCGAAGUCGUAAGACGAUGUAUACGGACUGACGCCUGCCCGGUGCUGGAAGGUUAAGAGGACCGGUUAGCCAGUAAUGGCGAAGCUGAGAAUUUAAGCCCCAGUAAACGGCGGUGGUAACUAUAACCAUCCUAAGGUAGCGAAAUUCCUUGUCGGGUAAGUUCCGACCUGCACGAAUGGCGUAACGACUUCUCUGCUGUCUCAACCACAGACUCGGCGAAAUUGCAUUACGAGUAAAGAUGCUCGUUACGCGCGGCAGGACGAAAAGACCCCGGGACCUUCACUAUAGCUUGGUAUUGGUGUUCGGUUCGGUUUGUGUAGGAUAGGUGGGAGACUGUGAAGCGGGCACGCCAGUGUUCGUGGAGUCGUUGUUGAAAUACCACUCUGAUCGUAUUGGACAUCUAACCUCGGACCAUGAUCUGGUUCAGGGACAGUGCCUGGUGGGUAGUUUAACUGGGGCGGUUGCCUCCCAAAAUGUAACGGAGGCGCCCAAAGGUUCCCUCAGCCUGGUUGGCAAUCAGGUGUCGAGUGCAAGUGCACAAGGGAGCUUGACUGUGAGACUGACAGGUCGAGCAGGGACGAAAGUCGGGACUAGUGAUCCGGCACCGGCAAGUGGAAGCGGUGUCGCUCAACGGAUAAAAGGUACCCCGGGGAUAACAGGCUGAUCUUCCCCAAGAGUCCAUAUCGACGGGAUGGUUUGGCACCUCGAUGUCGGCUCGUCGCAUCCUGGGGCUGGAGUAGGUCCCAAGGGUUGGGCUGUUCGCCCAUUAAAGCGGCACGCGAGCUGGGUUUAGAACGUCGUGAGACAGUUCGGUCUCUAUCCGCCGCGCGCGUUAGAAACUUGAGGAAGGCUGUCCCUAGUACGAGAGGACCGGGACGGACGAACCUCUGGUGUGCCAGUUGUUCCGCCAGGAGCACUGCUGGUUAGCUACGUUCGGAAGGGAUAACCGCUGAAAGCAUCUAAGCGGGAAGCCUGUUCCAAGAUGAGGUUUCUCACCCCCUCGAGGGUUAAGGCCCCCGGCAGACCACCGGGUUGAAGGCGCAGUGAAAGCCGGCAAG
rnacentral:rRNA from 1 species